rnacentral:rRNA from 1 species
GAAAUCAGUAAAGUGGCGCAAGGGUGAGUAACACGUGAAUAAUCUGCCUACGAAUUCGGGAUAACUCGGCGAAAGUUGUGCUAAUACCGAAUAAGACCACGUCUCUUAUGAGAUGUGGCCAAAGGAGUCUCAAACUCCGUUUGUAGAUGAGUUCGCGCACCAUUAGCUUGUUGGCGGGAUAACAGCCCACCAAGGCUACGAUGGUUAGCCGACCUGAGAGGGUGAUCGGCCACACUGGAACUGAGACACGGUCCAGACUCCUACGGGAGGCAGCAGUGGGGAAUAUUGCGCAAUGGGCGAAAGCCUGACGCAGCAACGCCGUGUGAGGGAUGAAGGCCUUUGGGUCGUAAACCUCUGUCAAAUGGGAAGAAUUCUGACGGUACCAUUAGAGGAAGCCCCGGCUAACUCCGUGCCAGCAGCCGCGGUAAUACGGAGGGGGCAAGCGUUGUUCGGAAUCAUUGGGCGUAAAGAGUAUGUAGGCGGCUGGAUAAGUCAGACGUGUAAGCCCACGGCUCAACCGUGGAAUUGCGUUUGAAACUGUUUAGCUUGAGUGCAGAAGAGGAAAGCGGAAUUCCCAGUGUAGCGGUGAAAUGCAUUGAUAUUGGGAAGAACACCGGUGGCGAAGGCGGCUUUCUGGUCUGCUACUGACG